rnacentral:rRNA from 1 species
GACGAACGCUGGCGGCGUGCUUAACACAUGCAAGUCGAACGGAAAGGCCCCCAUCUUGGUGGGGGUGCUCGAGUGGCGAACGGGUGAGUAACACGUGGGUGAUCUGCCCUGUACUUCGGGAUAAGCUUGGGAAACUGGGUCUAAUACCGGAUAGGACCAUGGUUUAGUGUCUCAUGGUGGAAAGAUUAUUGUUUUGGUGCAGGAUGAGCUCGCGGCCUAUCAGCUUGUUGGUGGGGUAAUGGCCUACCAAGGCGUCGACGGGUAGCCGGCCUGGGAGGGUGGACGGCCACAUUGGGACUGAGAUACGGCCCAGACUCCUACGGGAGGCAGCAGUGGGGAAUAGUGCACAAUGGGCGCAAGCCUGAUGCAGCGACGCCGCGUGGGGGAUGACGGCCUUCGGGUUGUAAACUCCUUUCGUUAGGGACGAAGCCACGCUUGUGGGGUGUGGUGACGGUACCUUUGUGAAGAAGCACCGGCUAACUACGUG